rnacentral:rRNA from 1 species
AAUAGAUACCCUGGUAGUCCACGCCGUAAACGAUGAGUGCUAAGUGUUAGAGGGUUUCCGCCCUUUAGUGCUGAAGUUAACGCAUUAAGCACUCCGCCUGGGGAGUACGGUCGCAAGACUGAAACUCAAAGGAAUUGACGGGGGCCCGCACAAGCGGUGGAGCAUGUGGUUUAAUUCGAAGCAACGCGAAGAACCUUACCAGGUCUUGACAUCCUCUGACAACCCUAGAGAUAGGGCUUUCCCUUCGGGGACAGAGUGACAGGUGGUGCAUGGUUGUCGUCAGCUCGUGUCGUGAGAUGUUGGGUUAAGUCCCGCAACGAGCGCAACCCUUGAUUUUAGUUGCCAGCAUUUAGUUGGGCACUCUAAGGUGACUGCCGGUGACAAACCGGAGGAAGGUGGGGAUGACGUCAAAUCAUCAUGCCCCUUAUGACCUGGGCUACACACGUGCUACAAUGGACGGUACAAAGAGUCGCAAGACCGCGAGGUGGAGCUAAUCUCAUAAAACCGUUCUCAGUUCGGAUUGUAGG